rnacentral:misc_RNA from 1 species
UAUAUUUUAAAUUUAUGUGUUUGCUAUAACAACUAGCAACGAGAGAAGAGUCUAAGAUCUACCUAUCUCUGAUAAAAGCACUCUAUUGAGGACUAAUUACUGAUGCUAGAACUAAUUCGAUAUAGAGUGCAAGUGUUUUUGACACAAUUUUGCACAUUCCGUGAAAUAAACUAAUCGGCCUGAAAUCUUGAACCUUUGACAGCUCAAACCCAUGAUCUUUAGGUUACAAAUUGAAUAACUUUACCGUUGCAGGAAAACCACACUCAAACAUGACAUGGAAAUAUACAUAUAUAGUCUGCAAUGCAUAUUCAUAAGAGAAAAAAGCAGCCGCAGCUAGUGAUCUCCACAUAAUAUUUAUUACAAAUUAUAGCUCAUUUAGGCAUAUAAUAAUUACAUAGUACAUGAUGAUCUGGUGGGAAAGAGAGAAUGGUGAGAGGAUAAAGAUUCGGUCACACAGAUAAUGGUUGUUAUGUUCAUACAGAUAGAGAGGGAGAGAGUCCGAACUCAAGCCCCCAUAGCUCAAAACUUCCUGAAAUGAAAUCAUAGUAGCCACCCUUCAAUGCAAGAGUCUUCUUCACCAAUCCAUCUCUCACAAAUGGAUAGGUCAGCAAAUUUCCAAGGGAUACAUUCACUGCUUCCUGCAUUAUAGUUUAAACAUUAUAUAUGUGAUUGGCAAGAAACAAAUAAAAUCCACCUCUAUAGCCUAAUUAAGAGCAAGCCAUGAUUGGUCAAUAAACUGGGAAGGAAACCCACUUGCCAGCUAAGCUAACUCUUAAGAGUUACAUAAGGGUAGCCCAAUGCAGGAAACAUCCCAUACUUGUGGGCUCUCUGAGGAUGAUUAAUGUACGUAGCCUUAUCCUUAUUUUGCAAAGAGUCUGCGUCUACUCAAAUUUGUGACCUUUAGAUCACAAAUAGAGUAACUUUACCGUUACACCAAAGUCACCCUUAACUCUCAGAGUUACGUAUGGCUUACAAAUCAUGCCAAAGAGGCAUAGGAAGAGGGUUUUACCUUUUCGCAGUGUGUGCAUAGUUCUGGCAAAUCUGCACCUCCAUGUUCUGCUAGGACCUUUGACUUGGCAGGCAACCCAAUACUGACCCAUUCUUCUAUGAAGUCAGUAGAAUAUUUCCCCUCAAAUGGGAAAGUCAUAAGCCCCUUGAUUCCUCCACAAGCACUGUGGCCAAUCACCACAAUGUUCUCCACCUUGAGGUGCAAAACUGCAUAUUCAACCGCAGAACCAAUCCCUGAGUAUUUGACCUUAUCAUAUGGUGGAACCAUAUUAGCAACAUUACGGACCACAAAAGCUUCCCCAGGUUGAAAAUCCAGCACGUGUGAUGGGCAAACCCGGGAGUCCGAGCAUGCAAACACCAUAAACUUGGGGCUUUGGCCUUUGGCAAGUUCACUGUACAAUGCAGGAUUCUUGUCAUAUUUCUCUUUCUUGAAGUGAACGAAGCCUUCUUUCAUCCUCUCAAUUGGAUUGAAGGGUUUGCCGUCAGAUGAGGCAGUUUGUAACUCAGCUGUUAUCUGCUCUACUCUGGCGGCAGCAGCGGGUUUAAGUUCUCCCUUCUCAUUGAGGAGUUUCUUGAGGGCUUCAAUUGCCUCCUCGUACGAGUUCCUUCCCAUUUCUUUUCUCCAAGUAGGAUUGAUGAUAGCAGCAGAGGCAGCAAAAACAGGCUCGUUUCUGAUAAGGGUAGGGACAGAAGAAGAAACAGGAGAAGAGUUGAGCCUAGCAAAUAUAGAGGGACGUAAUGUGGCUCUCCGGAGAGAAGAUUGGGAAGGAGAGAGGGAGGUGAGGCACCCGCCGUUAAUGGAAGCCGUCGACAUUGCGCCACGGGACACCAGAGUUGAGUGGCUUUAUACCAUUUUCAAUCACCACAUCUAGUCCACGCUCUUGCUGCUAGCUAUUGAUAUAGAGAUAAUGAAAGGGAAAGCUGGGUGAAUGAAAACUUCUGGCCUUGUAGAUUAGGUUUGGACGUUGGAGAUUCAAUGGAAAUACCUCUCUACCUUUAUAUAUAUCAUCUCAAUAUUCAAUAUUAAUUAAUUCUAUCCACCACCUACCUAUAUAAAUUCUGUUUAUGUGACCAUCUUAUCUUCCUACAUGCAUUCAAUAGUGGUUGUUCUCCAUUUCACAAAUUGAAGUCUUUAAGUUAAAAAGGAAUUAUUUUAUACAAUCAUUUUACUUGUAACAAAUAUAUUUUAACUGUUAAUUAUAAUGAUAUCCCCGUAAGAUUCACCAUAAUGAUGCAG